GACUGCUACAGGAAGUGACUGAUCAAGCCCUGCCUAUAAAGGAAGCAGGAAGUGGAGGGUUCCUUCUUUAAUCUUCAAGGCUGCACAGAGCAGGCAGCAACAGAAAUUUUUCACUCCUUAUUCAAUGUGGUGAAUAAGUCAAAAGAGUAACUAACAUCCUGACUCACUCCAUACGUGCACCAUACAUGUGGAGGACUGCACACACCUGUGGAGGAUGUAGAGGACCAUCUCUUUGCUUCCUGCACUGGCAGCGUGAUGACGUCAACUGCAGCCGGACGAGUCGAGUGAGGUGAGGUGAGGCUCCCUUCAGGUGAGGCUCCCUUCAGGUGGGGCUCCCUUCAGGUGGGGCUCCCUUCAGGUGGGGCUCCCUUCAGGUGGGGCUCCCUUCAGGUGGGGCUCCCUUCAGGUGGGGCUCCCUUCAGGUGGGGCUCCCUUCAGGUGCGGCUCCUGCAGCUGAUGAUUCAAUUCAAAGACACGUGGGCAGCCUGACCAAAACAAGAUGAAGUGCUGUUAGCAUGUCUGCUACACCACGCUGCCUCACUUCCUUCAACAUUUGGUGUUUCCUCGCUCUGAACUCCGAAGGAGUUUCUUCGGAUUAAAGUUUACCUGUUCCUGUUGGACCUUGUGUUUUUUUUGUCUUGUCAGCAUCUUCAAUUCCUAAUAGAUGUUUUGUAGUAGUUUCCUUUGUCACACAGUUGUGAACUUGAAGUGUUAGAUUUGUUAUCUUGUAUAAAACAAAUUUUCCAUUAGGAAACAUGUUUAUUUGUAGAUAAUUAAAGACUACUAGAAACAAGUUUCCUCAGGAAUAAUGAAAGUGGUAAACUACUAUAAAUAAAACACAGCUGGCAGAUGACCAGAGCACAGAUGUAACACAAGUCACUGAUGCAGAAUGGAUACAGCAGUAGUUUUAUUACAAUAUUGAACAGACAUGACCUGUGUUUUUCUACAUGUUACAUCAGCACAAGAAGGUGUCACAGCAUCCCCAUUGGAUAGGAGACUCAAAGGGUUCUUAAUGUUUAAUUAUG